rnacentral:tRNA from 1 species
GGAGAGGUGUCUGAGUGGUCGAUGGUGCGACAUUGGAAAUGUCGUGUACGGAAACGUACCGCAGGUUCGAAUCCUGUCCUCUCCGCCA